GCAGUAUGGUGCGUCAUUUGGACAAAGGGCAGCAAAAGAACAGGCGGGAAAUGAAACUGAACAAAGAACUGAUGUGUUUCUCUAGCCAGGUGUUGGUCUUGCCAGGAUGUGGAGGGGGGAGCAGGCUGCAUUUGGAAGAGUUGGAUCAAAAGCAAAAAGGACCCUCAAUGAUAUUUAAUACGUCUGCAACAUCGCUGAGCUCAGAUUACCUCUUGCCUCAGGACACACACCAAAAUAAGGCAUCUUAAUGCCCCUCAUGACACGGAUUAUUGAAGCAAGAGCAACUCACAAUAGAGUAGCAAGAAUGUUGAAAGCGGAGGGCGAGAAAACUUUGGAACUGUCAACUGCUGCUCAAUGAUUUUAUCAAUUGCUGCUAGCUAGCUAGCUAAUUUAGCCAAUGUAGGCUUCUUAAGUGUUAAAAAGUCUCCAGCUAUCAUUUAAAUAUUUACAGCUGAGUCGUUUGAGAACAAGAACCCUGUCAAACCAUAAAAGAAAACUGUAAAAUACAAAAUGUUGCCUGGCAUCUCUUGUGCAAGAUCUUGUUGAGGACGGCUGACAAUGUAAGAUACAUAUAGACAUACUGCUGUAAUAGAUGCCCUUUGAUGACAAGUCUGAAACACAGGCUACUAGUUGGCAGUUAUGCACACAAACAGUACACUCUUCUCUGCUCAUGUGUGUUCACUGAUUUUGGUUAAUUCACCCAUCCCACCACUGCUGCAACAUUUCCAAAGUUAGGACAGCCAUUGUAAGUGUUUAUGAAACAGUGACUGCUCUCGGCGUUCCACAGCUCCGAGGGUGUGGUUAUUUUUUCCAGCAGCGCUUCGACUUUAUGACCAAACUGUUUUUGCUGGAAUGUGAUUUCUCCCUUACAGUAACUAUUUCUCAUUGCACCCAUGAUAUAGGCUUAAUGCUAACAGGCUGAGGCUAACCCUAAAGUUUGUAUUCCAGUGUAGAGUAUAGAUUUGUUGCUGAAUGUAACACUAUUUCAGAAACAGUGGUGGAAAGGGUAUCACUUAAGUACUGUGUUGAAGAGCAAUUCAUAGGUACUUGUAUUUGAACACUUACUUUGUAUGUUACUACAUGCUUCUACUCCACUACAUUAAUUUGAUUGCUUUUGUUACUUGUUACUUUCGCAGGUUUCACACUUCAACUAAUGAUACAAAAUAUAAUGAAUAUAAUAUAAUGAGAGUUGGGGUGCACCCAGUCAAUCACAGAGUAAAAUGCAAUAAUACAAUACACAUUGAAGUGAACUGUAACAUUCUUCACAUGUAAAACAUAUUUUGAUGCUAGCUGUUCCUUUAAGUAAAAUCUUACACGACUUCCAACACACUGGAUGUGCUUUUCAUGACUGGAGCUUUUAACGGUCAUCGAACAGUCAGCUGUACUCCGUGUUUACAGUAAGGUCACGACUACAGCCUUGUAAAGGAUGAGCGCGAGGGAAUAGAAAAAGGAGAACAGCAGAGCCUUGAGUCCGUGAUACCUCCCUGUCAUCACAUGCCCUUUAGGAUGGUCCCAGCUUUUUUACGGUUCACAUGGCUUUUCUUUCACCAGACUGAGUGGCUCAGAUUAGGGCAUUUCCCUCUCAAUUCACAAUGCCACUUGAGGGAACCACUUUAUGUAAGGGCACAGAUGGGCUGUUUUGCUCCUGAAAAUGUAUCCCUGUGAGCCAAGACAUUAAAUUCAGCCUUAUGCAGGCAAUCCGCAAUCUCUCUCGUCUCUUUCUGUCCUUUUCUGUCUCCCUCUCUCUUUUUCAUGUCCACAUCAGACCAUAACUCUGUCGCUCAACUGACUCUUCUGAGGAGCCUGCAGGGAGUGAGUGUUCUGUGCCAUACAAAGAGACUUCCCUCAUAUUCCCCUAUCCUCCUCCUCUUUCUACGACAUACUGACCCCGCUAGCCGAGCGCUGACUGCCUGUUUCAUCCAGUGACCCCUGCCAAAUUUAUGUCUGAGGGUCAUGCUGUCACUCCAUUACUUCUUCAUUCAGUGUUUCUUUGGAUCAGGGUUACUCUGGCCAAACUGUCAUGGUCCUGUCACAGUGCCAGAGAAGUUCAGUCAUGAACCGGGCAUCCAACAGUUUCUUCUCAGGCUUUGGUCAGAGCAUACACAGGCUUGACAGCAAAACAAAAAAAACUAAAACAAAAAAAACCUGGUAGUUAGCCAGACUUAUGUAAGGGAUUAUAGAAUAUUUAUUUUUGCAAGUCAUAUUGUGAUACUGUUCAAAAAAAGACCUUGAAAAACAUUCAAAGCAUUUGUCUUUUUGCAGAGGACCAGUUCCGACUGAUUCAGGUUUCGUUUUUUAAAGAGUUUGCUGUUUUCAAGAGUGUGAAACUUGCAGAUAAACUUGCACCCAAACCCCACAGAUCCCAGGGGCUCAGAUCCCAGCUUGAUGUGUAUGAUGUUGUGAAAGGAUGCUGCAGACACCUCCUGUGAACAGACAGCCUCUCUGCUGCUUACAGCAGAUGCAGAGACAUCAAACUGAAAACACUGCUGGCUAUAGCCUAUUAAACUUACAUUGUG